rnacentral:rRNA from 1 species
UAGUGGCGAACGGGUGAGUAACACGUGGGCAAUCUGCCCUGCACUCUGGGACAAGCCCUGGAAACGGGGUCUAAUACCGGAUACGAGCCGGGGAGGCAUCUCCCUGGNUGGAAAGCUCCGGCGGUGCAGGAUGAGCCCGCGGCCUAUCAGCUUGUUGGUGAGGUAACGGCUCACCAAGGCGACGACGGGUAGCCGGCCUGAGAGGGCGACCGGCCACACUGGGACUGAGACACGGCCCAGACUCCUACGGGAGGCAGCAGUGGGGAAUAUUGCACAAUGGGCGAAAGCCUGAUGCAGCGACGCCGCGUGAGGGAUGACGGCCUUCGGGUUGUAAACCUCUUUCAGCAGGGAAGAAGCGAGAGUGACGGUACCUGCAGAAGAAGCGCCGGCUAACUACGUGCCAGCAGCCGCGGUAAUACGUAGGGCGCGAGCGUUGUCCGGAAUUAUUGGGCGUAAAGAGCUCGUAGGCGGCUUGUCGCGUCGGUUGUGAAAGCCCGGGGCUUAACCCCGGGUCUGCAGUCGAUACGGGCAGGCUAGAGUUCGGUAGGGGAGAUCGGAAUUCCU